rnacentral:rRNA from 1 species
UACAGAGGUCUCAAGCGUUGUUCGGAUUCAUUGGGCGUAAAGGGUGCGCAGGUGGCGAGGCAAGUCGGAUGUGAAAUCCCGGGGCUCAACCCAGGAACUGCGUCCGAUACUGGUUGGCUUGAAUCCGGGAGAGGGACGUGGAAUUCCAGGUGUAGCGGUGAAAUGCGUAGAUAUCUGGAGGAACACCGGUGGCGAAGGCGACGUCCUGGACCGGCAUUGACGCUGAGGCGCGAAAGCCAGGGGAGCAAACGGG